rnacentral:rRNA from 1 species
GAUGAACGCUGGCGGCGUGCCUAAUACACGCAAGUAGAACGCUGAAGGAGGAGCUUGCUCUUCUGGAUGAGUUGCGAACGGGUGAGUAACGCGUAGGUAACCUGCCUGGUAGCGGGGGAUAACUAUUGGAAACGAUAGCUAAUACCGCAUGACAACAGUUAUUGCAUGAUAACUGUUUAAAAGGGGCAACUGCUCCACUACCAGAUGGACCUGCGUUGUAUUAGCUAGUUGGUGAGGUAACGGCUCACCAAGGCGACGAUACAUAGCCGACCUGAGAGGGGGAUCGGCCACACUGGGACUGAGACACGGCCCAGACUCCUACGGGAGGCAGCAGUAGGGAAUCUUCGGCAAUGGACGGAAGUCUGACCGAGCAACGCCGCGUGAGUGAAGAAGGUUUUCGGAUCGUAAAGCUCUGUUGUAAGAGAAGAACGAGUGUGAGAGUGGAAAGUUCACACUGUGACGGUAUCUUACCAGAAAGGGACGGCUAACUACGUG